rnacentral:rRNA from 1 species
GACGAACGCUGGCGGCGUGCCUAAUACAUGCAAGUAGGACGCAGUUGCGAACGGGUGAGUAACUCGUAGGUCAUUACCUAUUAGAGGGGGAUAACUAUUGGAAACGAUAGCUAAUACCGCAUACUAGAAGAAGGACCUGCGUUGUAUUUGCUAGUAGGUAGGGUAAAGGCCUACCUAGGCAACGAUACAUAGCCGAGCUGAAGGGGUGGUCGGGCACACUGGGGCUGGGACACGGCCCAGACUCCUACGGGAGGCAGCAGUAGGGAAUCUUCGGCAAUGGGGGGAACCCUGACCGGGCAACGCCGCGUGAGUGAAGAAGGUUUUCGGAUCGUAAAGCUCUGUUGUUAAGGAAGCGGUACUUAACCAGAAAGGGACGGCUAACUACGUGCCAGCAGCCGCGGUAAUUC